rnacentral:lncRNA from 1 species
GGUCGGCUAUAUAGCAGCUGAACUAAAGAACUUCUGUACCCAGGAGAGAAGAUCUUCUGCGUAUACAAACUAAUCCAACAAUGUAUAGUUCAACAAUCUGCUAAGCUCCUCAAGGAAAUAUUAAUGGAGAAAUCACACUGCUAAAAUACAAAACAACAAGAAGUAUUCUUUAGUUACAAAAUAAUGGCAGGACAGUGAAGAAAAUAUGAAAAAAAAAAUGCUGACUCUCUCUCUUUCACUGGCUUAAACCAC